rnacentral:piRNA from 1 species
UGGAAACUGCCGUUGUUUACAUGAAGCCU